CCUCGGAAUACAUCACUCACCUCAGAUUAGACUAAGAGGUACUGGAUAUCAGGACAGAGAUCACUCACCUCAGAUUAGACUAAGAGGUACUAGAUAUCAGGACAGAUAUCACUCACCUCAGAUUAGACUAAGAGCUUCUAGAUAUCAGGACAGAGAUCACUCACCUCGGAUUAGACAAAGAGCUUCUAGAUAUCAGGACAGAGAUCACUCACCUCGGAUUAGACAAAGAGGUUCUAGAUAUCAGGACAGAGAUCACUCACCUCAGAUUAGACUAAGAGCUUCUCGAUAUCUGGACAGAGAUCACUCACCUCAGAUUAGACUAAGAGGUACUAGAUAUCAGGACAGAGAUCACUCACCUCAGAUUAGACUAAGAGGUACUAGAUAUCUGGACAGAGAUCACUCACCUCAGAUUAGACUAAGAGGUUCUAGAUAUCAGGACAGAGAUCACUCACCUCGGAUUAGACUAAGAGGUUCUAGAUAUCAGGACAGAGAUCACUCACCUCGGAUUAGACAAAGAGCUUCUAGAUAUCAGGACAGCGAUCACUCACCUCGGAUUAGACAAAGAGCUUCUGGAUAUCAGGACAGAGAUCACUCAUCUCGGAUUAGACUAAGAGCUUCUAGAUAUCAGGACAGAGAUCACUCACCUCAUAUUAGACUAAGAGCUUCUGGAUAUCAGGACAGAGAUCACUCACCUCAGAUUAGACUAAGAUUUCUUCAACAACAACAGCAGCAAGCAGGACUCACACGAUAUUCUCCAAACACCCCACAGGGCAGACAUCCCAAUUAUUUUCAAAAGGAAGCGACGCAGAGGAAGAAGAGCCGGAUGCCUCGUCCGGACCUGCAGAAGACAACUAGAAAAGCUGCCGUUACCGUCAAUAUUAUUCGCCAACGUGCAAUCAUUGGACAAUAAACUAGACGAGGUACGAUCACGAAUAUCCUACCAAUGGGACAUCAAAAACUGUAAUUUCCUAUGCUUCACGGAAUCUUGGCUGAAUGACGACAUGGAUAUUCAGCUAGCGGGAUACACGCUGCACCGGCAGGAUAAAACAGCACACUCUGGUAAGACGAGGGAGGGCGGUCUGUGCAUAUUUGUAAACA
rnacentral:lncRNA from 1 species